GGGACCUGUGAAGAGCUUUUUGAGACAGCCCAUCUCUUUCUGAGACUGCAGCAUGGCAGUAGGCUGCUGCCAUCAGAUGUGCAGGAUUGCGUCCAUUCUGUGCACACUGACAGGCCGGAGUAUAAUUUGUCAGCUCUGUCACUCCUACUAUGAGUAAAUGUGGUUUGCAAAUGUUUUCCCUUAAGCAUUGCAAGGUGUUUCUGUCACAUAAGUUAUAUAACAUUGGUUUUCCCUUGGAAAGCUCAGUCUUUUUAUCUUGCUGAUUUUUUUUCUUCUGUAGGUGACUGGUGAAGAAAGUCACCCUUUUCAGUUAACAGUUGAAAAAUUAGAAGCUGCAUUACAGAGAGCUAAAAAGCAGGUAUCAAUAACACUGAUCUCAGAUUUUCACGCUUUCCUCGUUGUUUUGUAAGCAGCGUAUGUUCUCAGCAUUGAAGCACAUGUAUGGUUUCAUCUCUGCAGAUUUUCAGUCUUGUGACUCAAGUGGGUCCAACUCUGGCAACAAGACCUGAUUUUAUAAUCUGGGCACUGUAACAAAAUGCAGAGAAACUCCCUGACUGUAUUUUAUGAAGAACAGAUCUUAAAUUUUUUUUUGAGAUCGAGUUUCUUUCUCUGUAGUUUGUAAUGGAAUUCAAAGUGUAAAAAGAUAUUGUUCUGACCAUCAGAAGAGAAACAAUGCUACUGUUACAACCUACUCAGAUAAUUAAAGAAAUAUGCCCAAUGUGAUUUUGAAGAGGGUUUUUCCUAGUUCUAGCUAAUAAGAAAUUACCAACAAACAAAAAAUUACAAAUGUAACUUUUCCAGAGUUUAGUAAACCUAAUUAGUUCAAAAUACUUAGCAUGAUUAGUGAUUCUAUUCUGACUGGGACUGCAUAAAUGAGGACAGUGUUGCUUGUCACAUAUAAUUUUUUUUUUCUAGCAUUCCUUUCUGUAUUUUAGACUACUUUUCUUCCCUGUGGAAAUGCUUGGUUUUGUAAAUGUCCACAAAAUAUUGCUCACCAGGCUAAAUUGUUUCCUGAUUUUUUUGUCUUGAUACUCAUAAUUCACUCACUUGAUGGAAAAUUAUAAAUGCACACACACUGAAGUGUUUGUGCUCUUUCUUGAAAAGAUCCAACAGUGGCAAGACAGGCAAAACAAUACGACAGCACAGUAAAACGUUUUACCAAAGAUGUGGUGAUGAUGGUAAUGAUGUUUCAAAACAUGAAGCGAGAGGGACUUCUUGUGUCCUGUUCCAGGACAGACAACGAGGUUUAACAGUAGACAAAGCAUAUUGUUACAAGGCAGGUCGCUUAGAAAGCUCAGUUUCAAGGAAGGUGACAUAUAAAAAAGCGUGUGUUUGGAUACACACAAAUGUGUGCCUAACAUUUUUUUUUUAGAUAUAUUGAAGCUGUCCUAGUUAUCUAAUUGCUUGAUCAGCAUGGUGCUAUGUUUAGACACCAUCUGUCUGUGUCUUUGCCAGCCCAUGGGAGCCUGAGCAUUCAGACCCUCCCACUUUAUCCUAGCAGAGGGAGGCAGCCCACAUCCCUGCUGUGUCACUGUGGCUGUCAGGAUGGAUCACAGACCAGAUUAACUCUUCAGAGCUCUGCAUGUGUUCGUCAGCCUUCUGGAGCUGAAAAUGUUCUCAUGAAUCAUAUUAUAGACAGCUUCUUUGGGUACGUGUAAUAUCAUAAAUAGCUGGAGGAACUAGGCUAGAAAAGCAAUUGUGAAACUGCCAUCCCAGAGCAGUCGAACCUAUAAACAAUCAAUAAAAGCCUCAGUCAGCAUCUUCUGCUUAUGACACAUCAGAGGUCACAUACACUAAAUAUGCUCUCAGGUAAUUUCUUCUUGUAGCUGGAAUCAAAGGCAAUACACUGAAAGUUCACUGCUUGUGAAGGUCUUGUUCACAGUACCCACUGACUUUCAGAGACAUUGCACUUCCCUCGUGGAAGGGAAAGUUAAGUAUUAGGGCUUCCUCAUCACUGAACUUUAUUUUCUAGAGUUCUUUGGGAGUUGGUCUUUGCAAAUAAUCUGAUUUGGAGAAGUCUUGGGUGGAGUGAGAAUUUGCAGUGGGUGGUUUUCUAAACAUUAAAAAUACAGAAACAAACUAUAAUUAUUUAAUUUCAAGUUUAUCCCAAGCAUGAAGUAAUAAUGCAACGCCCCAUGUUGAAACAUUUAGUCUUGAAAGCUUGUGCAAUUGCUAUGCAUAUUACUAUAUGGAUUAUGGACUGUAUAUUUUAAUCAGAAUACUGAGAGUACUGAACCAGGGAAUACUCAAAUUUUGCUACAUUUCUGUGUCUGGCAAAAUGUUUUUUAUAUUCAUGAGCUCUCUCUAAACAUACACAACUCUCAAGCAUUGUAUGCAUUUUUUUGUAUAUCAUGCUAAGCGAGUACUUUCUGAGGAAGCAUUUAGAUUUUCGCCCUCAGCUCUCUUUCAGAUUAUUUCUGUGUGCCUGUAUUGACUGGAUAGCGUUUUCAUACAUUAACUAUAAAAACCCCUUGGAGAUCUGUAAUGUAUGCUCAAUUGACAGCAUUGUAUGGGGACUUUUUUGCUUUGUUUUUGAUAUUUGUUGGAGUGAUUUUUUAAAUAUUUGCAGAAUUAAUUCCCUGUUUGCUCAAUUAUUUAGGUUUGUUGAGAGAAAACUAGAACUGCAAAAUUAACAGACUACUGCUAUAGAGGCACAGUAGGAUUGUCUCGCUAUGGAUCCCUAUACUUUUGGUAAAUGCUUUUGUCCAGUAUUUAUAUACUCCAAUAAGAUCCCCCCCUGAGUCAUUUCUGUUCCAUGCUGAACAGUCCCAGCUCUCACCCUCUCCUUGUAUUUCAGAUAUUCUGGUCCCUUAAUCAUUGUUGAGACCCUUCACUGGACUUGUUCCAGUAUGUCCAUGUCUUUCUUGUUCUGCAGAGCACAGAACCUGUGUCCCAGCACUGUGGAUGUGUCACACUAGUGCUGUGUAGAGAGAUCAGUGGUGUUUAAAAUCCUCACCUGAUCUUGAUAGGGAGUGAACAGUGAAACAGCAAAAACCCCUAAUGAGUAAGCUUUUCGGGCCUGUAAAAACAAGGGUUGGUAAUAAAAUACUACAGAAGACCUUCACAAAACUUGCCGACUGCACUUGGCAGAUGAAAUUUCCUAUUAGAUAAAAGCAAAGAAAAAAUAUUAUAGGGUCUAAUGCUCAUUCCUCUUCAGUGAUAAUCCCCCAUGAAAUAUGAGCCUGUUGUUAAAAAGAAUGUGCAUGUUAGAAAUUAUAAGAAAAGAAAUAGAAAAUACUUCAGGAAGUAUUCUGUUUUUUCAAAAAAAACCCUUGCUGUUCCUGCAUGUGUGCUGUUGAAGGUUAUGUACUGUUCAUGUCCCAUUGCAUCAAAAAGAAUACAGCAGAACUGGAAAAAGUGCUUCAGUCUGCCGAGGAGCCCUAAACAUGCACCUCUGAAAUGUGUUUCAGGCAGUAAUAUGGUGAUUCCCAUAGUCUUAAUACCCUUCCUGAGGCAUCAGAAGCUGGGAUUUGGCCAUUGCUGGAGGUGGACUUCUACACAGAAUUUAGGUUUGCCCCAAAAUAUCUGUUCUUACGUUAACUUGAAACUUCUGCCUCGGUUCCCAGUCGGUCUGACCAAGGAGCAGACAGUUGAUGCAGACAGAUCAACAGAGGGAUCUUUGCUCUACAUGAGAAUUGGCAACGGUGUAUCACACAUGCCACUCCUUUAUGGCGGUAAUGUGAUUUUUUUUUUUCUUUUGUCUUGUUAAAAGAUCUGUGAAAUAGAGUUCCCUCAGAUCUUGCACUGAGUUUUACACUAAUUUUCCACAAGAGACAUAUAAGACUUUCUUCUGCCUUGAAGUACUGCAGUAAGUUGGUCAAAAAUAUUGUUGGUAACUGAAAGCUGAGGUGAAUGUUUUAGUUUCUUUUCUGAUGGUCUCAACUUAUUCAAGGUGAGCUGUUAGUCCUGCCGAACAGGUUAAGCUUGAUUAGAAAGCCUACUGAAGCUGCAUAUUGCAAUGCCUUCCUGUCAUUGUCCCACACUAUUUGUUUCUAGGUAUAGCCUUAUAUGGAUAUGUUAAGUUUCAACAUACCAUUUCCACUUACCAAAAGAGCAAUUAAGCCCUAGUCAGGCUCUGCAAACUUAUCAGGCAUGAAGUGGUUGCUUUUGGUUUCAUUUUGGCCAACAAUAAAAUGCCAAAUCUACUUCCAUUUCCUCCACAGUUUGCAGUCAGCUUCUCAUGAGAAGGGACAAAUCUGUUAUCUUGCCUAGCAGCAGUCUGUUACAAAGCACUUUAGAAACAGAGCUCUAAAGAAGCAGGAAGAGCAAAACAGAAGUUAUCAGGAUCAGCACCAUGGAGAACUAUUGAUUCUCCUGACACAAAAGGCUUUGCUUUCUCACACUCUGUAUGACCAUCCCACUCUUGGUUGUAUGAGAAGAUGAACACAGGUGAGAAACACGUGAUAAAAACAACCCGGUCCAAAACAACCAUCAGUGAAAUAGAAGAUGGGCUAGCAAGAUCCCGGGGAAACAGGCAUCCCACCAGGAAACCGAACAGGGAAGAUCUCCUGGAAUUCUACCUCCGUAUGCAGGAUGAGCAAGAUGACAUCUUUACUCUGCCAUGUCCUAACUCCCUGAGGAGAGGUAACUAGAAAAUUCCCUACCUAGAUUCCCACAAUUUGGGAAAUAGAUACUCCUGAGAAGGGCACACUGAUUAAAAGGACAGGUUAUCUUUGCUUUGAUUCUUAAUGGCCUACUGAAAUCUAGGCUUGGGAGAGAAGGGGUUCCCAAAUUCUGCUUACAUAAUUCAGAUUCACUGCCACAAGCAGCCUUACCAUGUGAUUUUAUCUAAAUGUGACAUAAUCAGAAUGAAAGGGAACAUCAAUUGUGUAGGAUACUACAAACAUUGAAAAGGAUUAUCAGAGUUUGACCUUCUGAAGACAAAAAUAAACAUUCCUACUGAAAUUCCCUAGAGAAAGAUUUAUGUUAAUCAAAAAAAAAUAGCUUGUGUGUGUUUUGAACCUGGAUCAGCUGACAGGGCUGGUUUACAGCAAGGUACAUUACACCAAAAAAGGCAGAGGGGAUGGUCUUCAGGAAGGAAGUGGACACAAGGACCAUGAACACAGUUCCUGCUGUCCUCCAAAGAAUGCAACUUUGCCCCUAAAGAAAACCUAAACUGCUUCAUGAAAAAAGAGGAACACUCCUGCUCUGUUCUCCCUAAAUGAAGGAGUUCAGAAGAUUUUGCAGGAGGCCAAAUUGUCAUAUGUAAGCAAACAGAUGCCUGAGUUUACUGUUCUGGGUCAGCUACAGGGGCAACGCCCGGCACAGGAUAAUCUUGGUAUUUUCAGGUAAAACCAACCUAUCUGUCCACAACUAGAUUCCAGUUCUACUUCUGUUUUGUUAAACAGACAUCAAAGUACUUCAGUGUUUCAUAAAGAUGCAUGAACCACCUGGAGAUGUCAUCCAUGAAGAAGUUGUUAUUGAGACUGAAGUUACUGAAAUAGAGAAGAAAAAUAAUCUCACUGAAGCUGUAAACCAAAUGCAAGAAUAACAAAUCACCAGCUAGAAGGGCUGAAAAAAAAAAAAGAAAGCAAUUUUCCAAAAGAUGAGUGUGACUGUGUGGGUGAGACAGUUGCCAAAUGCAAAAUUCUGUUGUCAAUGAUCACAAGACUCUGUGGUGGGGGGCACAUAAAAAUAACUAUUAACAACUAUUAACUACUGUAAAAGUAUUUCUGCUUGAACAUAAUGCUCAUUUAUAAUUUUGGAGAGAUGUACUCUGUUAGCUAAGAAAUGUACCAAUUUUAUCUGUGUGAAAAUAGAAUAAAAUUAUGAUUUUUCUGA